rnacentral:rRNA from 1 species
UACGUAGGGGGCAAGCGUUGUCCGGAUUUAUUGGGCGUAAAGAGCGUGUAGGCGGCCUGAAAGGUCAGCUGUGAAAACUCGAGGCUCAACCUCGAGACGUCGGUUGAAACCAUCUGGCUAGAGUCCGGAAGAGGAGUGUGGAAUUCCCGGUGUAGCGGUGGAAUGCGCAGAUAUCAGGAGGAACACCAAUAGCGAAGGCAGCUCGCUGGGACGGUACUGACGCUAAGGCGCGAAAGCGUGGGGAGCGAACAGG